rnacentral:hammerhead_ribozyme from 1 species
CCGAUGAAGAGUCCCAGACUAGGACGAAACAGCUGUCCGG